GUGCAUCAUUUUAGGGGUUACAUGAUGUUGAAUAUGUCUUAGGAUUGGUAGUGUUAACCAUGAUCAUUUGGUUAAGAUACUCUCUGCUGGGUUUUUUCACUGUAAAAUUACCGUUUUUCCCUUGGUGCUUAAUAAAGAUUUUAGAAGAGAUAUACUCUGAAACUGUGCAAAUACCCUGUUUUUCUUCAAACUUUCACCCACUGAUUUUAGCAUCCAUUGGUGGGUCUUGCUGGCAUCAGUUACUGCUUAAUGUUUGUCUAAUGUUGAUUUUCUGUUUUCUUCAUUUCUUUUACAUUUAUUGAUUGGAAAUCGUCUGUAGGGAAGAUCUGUACCUUCCUGAUAUAUUUAUUGAUGAUUAUUAAUUAUUUAUAGCUGUGGACUCAUUAUUAAUAAAUGAGGGUUUUAUGAGUAAUACUUGUAAACCUUAGGAGAGGAAUGUUGAUGUAUUUAACUUGUAAACUUUGUUUUCAGCUUCUUUUGUGUUAGGUAGGUACAUGUAUGCUUGGGUGUAGGAUAAAUAGCAAUGCUAUAAUAAUACUGUAUAUAUUGUUAUAUGAAGAUUGCAUUUUAUUUCAAGAUUUCCUUUGGAGAUAACUUUUAAAACAUUGAGAUUUCAAACCACAAGAUCACUAAUUACUUGCAUAACACUUAGCAUAAUUUUCUCCUAAACGAUAUCAUGGUCUUUCUAUAGUUAACACUCAAGGUGAUUUUCUUUAUUGUUCUCUUUGCCUUCUUUAUUUUGAAUUUGAGGCACUUAGUAUAUUUUUUUAUAAGUUAUAGCCACAUAUCAGUACUUACCAGCAUGAUAAGCAGUUCUUUACUAUAAAAUUAAAGUUUGUAAACCAUUAAGUGUAAUUUUUGGUCAGACCACAAGUCCUGUUGCUUUUUUAUUUAGUUGCUUUAAAAAUUUUUUCUAAACAUACAGAAUAACAACCGUUAAGAUCUCAUUUUUCUCUCCACCUACUCUCUCAUUUGUUUCUUAAACUCCCUUUUUUUUCAGCCUGUUUUUUGUAUCCUUGUUAGAGAGAACAGACAUAUAUUGUCCCUGAAUGUACAUUUAAUUAUAUUCUUCAUGUAAUUACAUUAUGUAAUUACAACUCAAUCACCUAAUUUAGCACUGCUUAACACAUGUUAACUUUUGCUUUUUGUUCGUUUUUGAGACAGGGUCUUGCUCUAUUACCCAGGCUUGGAGUACAGUGACAUGAUUAUGGCUCACUGCAGCCUCGACCUCCUAGUCUUACAUCAUUCUCCCACCUCCACCAAGUAGCUGGGACUGCAGGCGCAUGCUGCCACAUCCAGCUAAUUUUUUGUAUUUUUUAUAGAGAUAAGGUUUCACCGUGUUGCCCAGUUUGCUGUCAGGCUUCUGGGCUCCAGCGAUCUGCUCGCCUCAGCCUCCCAAAGUGCUGGGAUUACAGGUUUGGGCCACUGCUCUGGCCACAUAUUAACUUUCAACCAGUCAUGGUAGCUGUUGUUAAUAUUUUAAUAUAUAACUCUCCAGAUCUUUUCUAUGCACAUAUACUCAUUUUUAAAUUGAUACAUAAUAUUCAUACUGUAUGUACUGUUCUGUAUGUAACUUGCUUUCUGACUUUAUGAUAUCUAGUUUUUACACUCUCAUUAAAAGAUGACAGACAUGGAACCAGCAUGGAAAACACAAUUAAAGGAAGUUUAAGAAUCAAAUGCACCAGCUAUGGUAGUUCACACCUGUAAUCCCAGCAUUUGGGGAGGCCAAGGCAGGAGGAUCGCUUGAGCCCAGGAGUUUGAGACCAGCCUGGGCAACAUGGUGAAACCCUAACUCUCCAAAAAAAUAUAAAAAUUAGCCGGGUAUAGUGGCGUGUGCCUGUAGUCCCAUCUGCUUGGGAGGCUGAGGCAGGAGGAUCACUUGAGCCCAGCAGGUCAAGAUUGCAGUGAGCCACAAUCGCGCCACUGUCCUCCAACCUGGGCAACAGAGUGAGACCAUAUCUCAGAAAAAUAAAAAGAAUCAAAUGGAUUCUUAAAUUUAUGGAGGACUUCCUUACAACUUUUUUUUGACCUCGUGAUCCGCCUGCCUCAGCCUCCCAAAGUGCUGGGAUUACAGGCAUGAGCCACCACGCCCAGCUGCAAAUUUUUAUAUUACUGUACUGGUACGUGCUUUUUAUAUAUUUGAUCUAUUUCUUUGCAUCAGAUCCCUAGAAAUAAAAUUUGGGGGACAAAUGAUAUACAGAUUUUUAAGACUUGAUACGUUAAUGCCAAAAUGCCUUGUGUGGCCAGGCGCGGUGGCUCACGCCUGUAAUCCUGGCACUUUGGGAGGCCGAGGCAGGUGGAUCGCUUGAGGUCAGGAGUUUGAAACCAGUCUGGCCAACAUGGUGAAAUCCCAUCUCUACU
rnacentral:lncRNA from 1 species